UAAUCAAAUCGCAAAUGAUGUCGUUGAAGCUCAAAACAGUCAACUCAAGUAUCAACACCGAGUCCGACUAAAAUAUCAUGCCUUUGUUGCCAAUUUCACCGAACCAUUUAUAGACAGACACCAACAAAAAAUGCAAGAGAAAUCAGAAAUGGCCAACAAGAACCCUAAGAAGGCUAAUUCCUUAGAUCAUCACUGCAUCAUCAAACGCAUCCUUGAUGUGAUCGUUCCCGAGAUACAUGAGCCUUUGAUGAAUGAGUUUCUGAAGCAAGGGGGAUUAGAUGUGCGGGCCCUCAAGAGGCAGGGAAAGAUGUAGCAGCAUUGGUUGUGCUAAUAUCUCAUGCUGAUCAAAUCGAUGGUGUAAUCUUUGGUCACAAGGGUGCAUUAAAAGGGUUGCACAAAAGUUCAGUCUUAAUUCUUCGUUCAACCAUGCUGCCAUCACAUUUUCCAGGAAUUGGAGAAGAAUCUUUCAGGCAACCUCAUUUACAUUUUUAAGGCCCAUUAAUGCAUAUUGUGCAUACUAAUUAUCUCUUCACUAUUCUUAUGUUCUAAACAAUGGCAUAUUUUUGAAACUCCUAUAUCUUGCUCUUCCUAUUUUAUUGGUUCCAUCAAUUAAUUAACUGUGAAGGGUGAUUCCAAGACUGUUAUCAUAGUGCCAUGUAUAUUUAUGUAAUGCAAAUUAUUGUUCAUACUAAUUAUCUCUUCACCGUACUCAUGUUUUCUUUCCUUGUGUUAAAUACAAUACCAAUCACCAAAGCUUUUGCUGACAUUAUCUUUUUUUUUUUGGUCAGCUAAAACUUAUAUAUAUCGAUUGUUUGUGAGAAAAAGGUAUAUAUUUAAAUAUGUGUGUAUAUAUAUUGUACACAUUUUAAUUCUCUCCUCUCUCUUCACAAUUUGUAGGUAUGCGAAGAUAUAAGUGAAUCAUAAAACAGUUGUUUGUACAUGAUAGAUAGAUUUUUAUGUUAUUUGUAAUAACUUUUUAAUUUUGAUUAUAAUAAUAGAAAAUUUAUAAUUUUUUUCUU